rnacentral:misc_RNA from 1 species
GAAAUGCGAUAAGUAAUGCGAAUUGCAGAAUCCGUGAGUCAUCGAAUCUUUGAACGCACAUUGCGCCCUUUGGUAUUCCGAAGGGCAUGCCUGUUCGAGCGUCAUUAUCACCCCUCAAGCCCGGCUUGUUGUUGGUCGCGGCGGCCGUCUUACCCGGCCCGCCCGUCCCAAAGAUAAUGACGGCGUCUGUGAGGACUCCUGUACACUGAGCUUUCGGGCACGUACACGGCUAGAAGUCCAGACCCGGUCUACCCGGUCUUUUGGCACCCCCAAAAAGAUUGGAACCCCCUUUUUUACCAAGGUUGACCUCGGAUCAGGUAGGAAUACCCGCUGAACUUAAGC